AGCCGACCGAGCGGCUAUAAACAGGGUUCAAGCUCGGAGCGUUCCCUCUUCGGAGGGAGGUAUCU
rnacentral:ribozyme from 1 species